rnacentral:rRNA from 1 species
UUAACACAAGUUGAGUAGGGAAAGUUUUUCGGUGUAGGAUGAGACUAUAUAGUAUCAGCUAGUUGGUAAGGUAAUGGCUUACCAAGGCUAUGACGCUUAACUGGUCUGAGAGGAUGAUCAGUCACACUGGAACUGAGACACGGUCCAGACUCCUACGGGAGGCAGCAGUAGGGAAUAUUGCGCAAUGGGGGAAACCCUGACGCAGCAACGCCGCGUGGAGGAUGACACUUUUCGGAGCGUAAACUCCUUUUCUUAGGGAAGAAUUCUGACGGUACCUAAGGAAUAAGCACCGGCUAACUCCGUGCCAGCAGCCGCGGUAAUACGGAGGGUGCAAGCGUUACUCGGAAUCACUGGGCGUAAAGGGCGCGUAGGCGGAUUAUCAAGUCUCUUGUGAAAUCUAAUGGCUUAACCAUUAAACUGCUUGGGAAACUGAUAGUCUAGAGUGAGGGAGAGGCAGAUGGAAUUGGUGGUGUAGGGGUAAAAUCCGUAGAUAUCACCAAGAAUACCCAUUGCGAAGGCGAUCUGCUGGAACUCAACUGACGCUAAGGCGCGAAAGCGUGGGGAGCAAACAGGAUUAGAUACCCUGGUAGUCCACGCCCUAAACGAUGUACACUAGUUGUUGGGGUGCUAGUCAUCUCAGUAAUGCAGCUAACGCAUUAAGUGUACCGCCUGGGGAGUACGGUCGCAAGAUUAAAACUCAAAGGAAUAGACGGGGACCCGCACAAGCGGUGGAGCAUGUGGUUUAAUUCGAAGAUACGCGAAGAACCUUACCUGGGCUUGAUAUCCUAAGAACCUUUUAGAGAUAAGAGGGUGCUAGCUUGCUAGAACUUAGAGACAGGUGCUGCACGGCUGUCGUCAGCUCGUGUCGUGAGAUGUUGGGUUAAGUCCCGCAACGAGCGCAACCCACGUAUUUAGUUGCUAACGGUUCGGCCGAGCACUCUAAAUAGACUGCCUUCGUAAGGAGGAGGAAGGUGUGGACGACGUCAAGUCAUCAUGGCCCUUAUGCCCAGGGCGACACACGUGCUACAAUGGCAUAUACAAUGAGACGCAAUACCGCGAGGUGGAGCAAAUCUAUAAAAUAUGUCCCAGUUCGGAUUGUUCUCUGCAACUCGAGAGCAUGAAGCCGGAAUCGCUAGUAAUCGUAGAUCAGCCAUGCUACGGUGAAUACGUUCCCGGGUCUUGUACUCACCGCCCGUCACACCAUGGGAGUUGAUUUCACUCGAAGCCGGAAUACUAAACUAGUUACCGUCCACAGUGGAAUCAGCGACUGGGGUGAAGUCGUAACAAGGUAACCGUAGGAGAACCUGCGGUUGGAUCACCUCCUUUCUA